rnacentral:lncRNA from 1 species
CGCCUCAAAAAGGAUCUUCCAUACCCAUGUUUGUAUCCAACUACAUUUACGAAGUUGGAUACAAACAUGGGUACGGAAGAUCCUUUUUGAGGUGCAUUCACGAGGCAGUGAAACAAAGGACCCAGGACCAACAACUUAAUAGAAUUCAUUUAGACCAGCAUUUGAGCUUUCUAUUGGUUCCGUACUGUUACUCUACCAUGCUGUUUACGAGAAAACUAGCCAGACAGGCUGAUAAAAGAAUAACGGUUAAGAGAGCCCUUAUGGUAUUUAAUGCCAUACGGAACGAUAAAGAACCUAGAGAUAGAUUAGAAUGAACAGGGGUAUAUACCAUACUGGUUACUGAAAACCAAACCAACCAACGAACAUCCUAUGUGGGCAUAACCGCAAGAACACUAGGGCAGCGUAUUGAAGAACAUAAAAGGGACAUACAGAAAGCAAAAAUGACAACCGCCCUAUCCCUAAAAGCGUAUGAAAAUGAUAUAACCAUACAUUGGGAAGAAGC